ACGCUAAGGGUGCCCUAAGUCUCUGUUGACGGGCGUGACUCGCCAGUACACGCCCAUACCGUGCCCAUGCCGUUGCCACGCCGCCGGCGUCGCAUCGCCACUGCUCGGCCGUCCUCGCCGUCCUUGCCCACUGCUCGGCGUUGCAUGAACACCAGCUCCCCCACGGCCUUUUCUCCUCGCCAGCGCACGGCCGCCGCUCGCCUCGGCCUUAUCUUCCCAAGCUGCCGUCGCCAAGUCCUUUUCCCUCCCUCUGUUCUUUCUCGCAAGAGCAAGCAAGCAGCUCACCUGCAGCCUCGAUCUCCCUGCUCUGCCAUGGAAUCCAACAACCAGGGCACCAGCUACUCCAAUCAGUCUCCCCUUCCUCUCUAAUCUCUAUCUUUCACACGUCAACCACCAACAGCACAAAUCCAUGGAGGCCAAUACAUUUCCGGUCCUCUGCUCCUCCCUUGCUCGGGCAGAGCAAGCAGAUCAGCGCCCCUCUUUCUUAAGCUCCAUCCCCUUCUCUGAUUCCCUCCACCAAGCAGCAACCGCUGCUCUCCUCUUCAGUGCUGCACGAGCUAGCAGCUCGAGCUCUUCGUGUUUCUGUCCAGCUAACAAGACAGCAGCAGCAGAACACCCAGCGCCGCACAGCCGGCGAGCCCAGCUUGGCCUCUGCCCGGGGAAGUUGCUAACCGGGGCUUCGUCCACGACACCAUGUGACCUGCUACCUCUCCGUCAAGCCGUGGCAGCCAGGACGCCGACUACCCUGCUUGCCAUGACAUUGCCUUCCUCGCCUACAACCCGUUCGACGAAAUGCGCCAGCAGCGUCAUCUCCUAUUCUACACCAAGCUGCACGUGCCCACUUGGUGCUUGGCAUCGCUGCUGACGAUGUGGUGUACAAGAUCGUGGCUGUGGAGCAUCCAAAGGACCCGGCCCAUGGUCCGGAAGGGCCAAAGGCCUUGAAAGUAAUAACACCGUAGUUGAAAGGCCAGCCCCGUGGCAUGACCCCUAUUUCAACUUAUGCAAUUAAUGUUUAACUAUGUAUUUGUGCAUUUUACGUUUCUAGGAGUUGAAUGGAACCAUAGAUGCAUCAUCCAUAGGUUCCCAUAGUUAUACUAGUAUGUGUAGGACGUUAGCUCUGCCAUGCUUAAUAAGUUCGGUAGAAGUCGGGUGAUUUCUUGUCACUCGCAAGACAUAAGAUCCCUGGAUACUUAUUUUGAUACUUUGGACAAAUGGUUCACAUGGUAAAAUGAGAGACCAGGCACAUAUGUGAUUGGUUAAGGAUAUGACAUAUGGAUUGAAAGAGUACCUAUGCCUGUGUCAAUUAAGGCCCAUUCGUUGUUGGUCCUGCUGACCGAGUUCGAACAGUACUAAUCACAUGCUAGGAGUAGGAGGUUGUAAUAUUCCAAAAUUUGUAAUAUUUAUUUGAGUGAAAUUUGCAAAAAUUUAAAACCUUUUGUUUGCAUUGUGUGCUCAUUUGAAAAUGUUAGCCAAUUCUUUCAUCAUCCUAAAAAUUUCAUUUCAAAACUUGUGUGGAAUGAUUUGGAUCUUUUUGAAUUUUUAUUUGGAUCUCACGUUUAAGUGUGAGUUUCAAUUUUGAAUCUAAUUCAAAAUUCAAACUAAAUCUAAAUCUAAAUCUAUAACAAAAUAAAAACCAAACAUAAACCAAUCUAACCUAACCUAUCAUACCAGCCUGCUAACCUAUCUAACCUAACGGCCUGCUAACCCUCGAUUUGGCUCGCACGCGCACACCUCGCCUUCGCUCGCGCCCACCUCCUUCUCUCACUGCCGCCCGACCCCGCCUGUCAGCGCCUCUCCCUAUUCUUCUUCAACCUCCCACCCGUACACCUCACAUGCACGGCGCAUGCAGGGGUGAGUAGAUGGGGGUGCCGCGCUGGAGUGCACUACUCAGUAUGCUGCCGAGAAGGAGUGCACGAGUAGGCGUGGCCGCAGUAGAGGUCGUGGAGGUGGUCGUGGUCGAGGUCGUGGCCAGAAUGACCAAGAAGUGGAGAAUGGACAUGUCAUGUGUGAGAACAAUGGAAAUGCAGAGGUUUCGGAUCAAUCUGCUGCUGGAGCUGUUCCUGCUGCUAGAGCUGUUCCUGUUGCUCCAGCCGCUCAGGGGAUGACAUUUACCAUGUGGACAUUGCUGCAAGUGGAGAUGUUUGAUGGAUCAGGGUUGCUAACAGAUGCUGCCGACUGGUUACGCAAGGUAGAGAAGGUCAUGGAUGGGUGUAGGAUGACUCCUGAGGAUAAGGUCUUCUUUAUACCACACCAGCUGACGAGUCUUGCUGAUUUAUGGUGGGAUGGUGUUCGUGAGGCGUGGCCUCCUGCGCGUGGUGCUAUCACAUGGGAGGUCUUUCUAGAGCAGUUCAGAGCAAGGAAGUAAGAUGGUGGAUGAAUAUGAGAGGGAGUUCACCAACAUUGUUCGCUUUGUGCCCACCGUGGCUAGAGAUGAACGUGAGAAGGCCAGGAAGUUCUUUAGAGGACUUAAUGCAAGGUACAAAGAAGUGAUGGGUGGGAACCCACAGACUACUUAUCUUGCCGCAAUUAAGGAGGCAAGAGGGAUGGAGUUAGAGAUUCAGCUUCCUGCAAUCCAACAGAACCGUACGGGGAGUGUGAGCGGCACAAGUAGUGAUAAGAAGAGAGCUCCUCAGGAUGAAGGAGAGCGAGAAUUUUCUCUGCGACCUCCUUUCAAGAAGUUCAAGCCAAAUAAGUACUCCCAACAAUCUCAUUCGUCCAAGCCUAAACAGUUUGCGGGAUAGUCUUCUUCAUCAUCACGCCCCAUCGGAUUUCAAAUCAUGCGCCCAGUACCAAGACAGGGAUUAAUUUGCUUCAAGUGCGGGAAGCCUCACCAUUCGUCGGAGUGUACCUUUUCUGGACUUUGUCGCACCUGCGGCAAGGAGGGACACAUGGCUAUUGUCUGCAACAGAAAUCCAAAUUCUAUUAUCAAGUGGUAGAGGUCUAAUUCUUCUUUUGUGUCGUCUCCAUCCAGUUCUCGAGGCUCAGUUCUUUCAGCUGGUGCUCCUCAUGGUGCAGUUCAGAUGAUGCCUGCCCAUCCACCAGUCUCACAUUAACAAUAUCCCCAGCACUAUGUAACUCCGCCUACAGGCUACUACUGGAAUCCACCUCAACUACCUGCAUCAUAUGUUCCACCUCAGUUGCCUGCACCAUAUGUUCCAUUUCAGCUACCCGCGCCAUCUUUUGUUCCACCACCACAUCAGGUUGGGGCAGGUUCUACUGCUCCAAACCCCGCUAGAGUCUACACCAUGCCUAAUGCUUCCUCCCUGGGUCAUCCAGACAUAGUCUCAUGUAUAUUUACAGUCGAUUCACAUGAUGCUCUAGUAUUAUUCGAUUCUGGUGCUACGUUCUUGUUUGUUUCACUUGAUUUUGCACAAAGAGUUGGUCUAUCUAGUCAAGAGAUUUCUCAGUCUAUUCAUGUUGGCUCCUUUGGUCUCUAGUUCGGUGGUGUGCCCGAGUUGCACAAUAUCCAUAGAUGGGGAUGAUUUUGUGGCAAAUCUUAUGGUAAUUCCUUGACCCAUAUUUGAUGUUAUUUUGGGCAUGGAUUCGUUGCAUUGUUAUUAGGCGGUAAUAUUUUGUUUCUGGAAGACUAUUUCCUUAAUGGCUCCCUUGCGUCAAA